UCCCUGGUAGUAUAUCGGUUAGUACACGCGCCUGUCAUCAGUCUGUCAUUUCUCCGAGGACGCGCGAAAGCGGGGUUCGACUCCCCGCCAGGGAG